UCAGGACUCUGAACGUGAAGAUUCUAACCACAACAGACUUAAAAUCUGUCGGCUUCACGGCCGUGCCGGUUCAAGUCCGGCUACCCGCACCA
rnacentral:tRNA from 1 species